rnacentral:rRNA from 1 species
CUACGGGCCGCUCCAGUAAGGAAUAUUGCGCAAUGGAGGCAACUCUGACGCAGCCAUGCCGCGUGCAGGAAGAAGGCCGUAUGGGUCGUAAACUGCUUUUAUUUAGGAAUAAAACCCCGAACGUGUUCGGGGCUGAAGGUACUAAACGAAUAAGCACCGGCUAACUCCGUGCCAGCAGCCGCGGUAAUACGGAGGGUGCAAGCGUUAUCCGGAUUUAUUGGGUUUAAAGGGUGCGCAGGCGGGCUAUUAAGUCGGUGGUGAAAUCCCGGGGCUCAACUCCGGAACUGCCAUUGAUACUGAUAGUCUUGAGUGUGGUUGAAGUGGGCGGAAUGUAGCAUGUAGCGGUGAAAUGCAUAGAUAUGCUACAGAACACCAAUCGCGAAUUCAGCUCACUAAGCCAAAACGUAUGAGCAUGCACGAAAGCGUGGCGAUCAAACAGGAUUAGAUACCCGCGUAGUC